GCUUUGGGUACGACUUGCAACUUGUUGAUGUUCCGGGUUUUUGUGACACAAGCAGAUCAGACGAAGACAUCAAGAAAGAAGUCAUGAAAUGUAUGGCGAUGUCAUCUCCUGCAAUACACGCCAUUCUUUUCAUCAUUAGAAUUGGAAGAAUCACUGAAGAAGACACAGAUACACUGGAAAGUUCCUGCAGUGCUUUGGAAAAGAUGCUAAACGGUUCGUCAUUGUUGUAUUUACUGGAAAAGAUGACUUGGACGUGGGAGGUGACACUCUUGAAAACUACAUAGGCGAUUGCCCAAUGGAACUGAAGCAGUUUCUAUGUUAAACAAGUCUUCGUUUUAUUGCUGUCAACAAUAGAGGGACGGGUGAAGAAAAAGAGAAAUUUACCUGAUCGACAAGGUAAAGAAGAUGGUUAAUGAAAAAAACGGCAAGUGCUACACAAAUGAUAUGUACGAGAAAUGUGAAGUUGACCUUCGUGAAGCUGCGAAGAAGGAAAAACUUGAAGGGAAGAGGCAGGAGGAAUUCGAGAAGACACUUGAACAAGAAGCUGCUGCCUUUGAAGAACAGUUGCAGAGCCAGUGUCAUAAAAUUCAAAAAAUGGAGAAAGAACUUGAAAAAGAACGAAUGUCAAGGGAAAAAGAUCAAGAAGACCAACUAUAAGAACGUCCCAAGGCCUUUGAACUCAGAGUAAAGAUCGAAGAGGAAAAUAAACGCCGGGAAGAAGAAGAGAAGAAACGACAGGCAGGACAAAUGGAGACAGAGAAAAACAUGAGAAGAGAGCUUAAGAUGAUGAAAGAUUUUCGG